rnacentral:rRNA from 1 species
UACGUAGGGUGCGAGCGUUGUCCGGAAUUACUGGGCGUAAAGAGCUCGUAGGUGGUUUGUCGCGUUGUUCGUGAAAACCGGGGGCUUAACCCUCGGCGUGCGGGCGAUACGGGCAGACUUGAGUACUGCAGGGGAGACUGGAAUUCCUGGUGUAGCGGUGGAAUGCGCAGAUAUCAGGAGGAACACCGGUGGCGAAGGCGGGUCUCUGGGCCUGUACUGACGCUGAGGAACGAAAGCGUGGGGAGCAAACAGG